rnacentral:rRNA from 1 species
CGGGGUGCAGCAGGCGCGAAAACUUUACCCUGUUGGCAACAGCGGUAAGGGGACCUCGAGUGCCAGGAUACAAUCUUGGCUGUCGCGAUGCCUAAAAAGCAUUGCAUAGCAAGGGCCGGGCAAGACCGGUGCCAGCCGCCGCGGUAACACCGGCGGCUCGAGUGGUAACCGCUAUUAUUGGGUCUAAAGGGUCUGUAGCCGGCCGGAUAAGUCUUUUGGGAAAUCCAGCUGCUCAACAGUUGGGCUUUCAGAAGAUACUGUUCGGCUCGAGACCGGGAGAGGUGAGAGGUACUUCAGGGGUAGGGGUGAAAUCUUGUAAUCCUUGAAGGACCACCAGUGGCGAAGGCGUCUCACCAGAACGGAUCUGACGGCAAGGGACGAAAGCUAGGGGCACGAACCGGAUUAGAUACCCGGGUAGUCCUAGCCGUAAACGAUACUCGCUAGGUGUCAGCCACGGUGCGACCGUGGUUGGUGCCGUAGGGAAGCCGUGAAGCGAGCCACCUGGGAAGUACGGUCGCAAGGCUGAAACUUAAAGGAAUUGGCGGGGGAGCAC